GCGAGAGUGGCGGAAUUGGCAGACGCGCUGGAUUUAGGAUCCAGUGGGGCAACCCGUGCAGGUUCAAGUCCUGUCUCUCGCAC
rnacentral:tRNA from 1 species